rnacentral:lncRNA from 1 species
GCCCCGCCCCCGCCCCGGGCUACGUCCCCGUCCUUCUCCCGCCCCCACGUUCCGGCUCCGCCCUACGCUCUCCGCUGCGCCCUGUGUUCGCGGUCCCUCCCCGACGCUCUGGGCCCCGCCUCCUGCUCCCGGAUCCCCUCCUCAAGGCUGCCCCGCCCGGUGCUCCGGCCCCGCCCAAGUCCCUGCCCCAAGCCUUCGCCCCGCCCCCCGCUCCGGCUGGUGCGUCCCGUGCCAGUCCCGCCCCACGUAUCCGAAACGCUCGCGUCCUGGCCCCGCCCCGAGCCUUUGGCCCCGCCCUACGCUCCGGGCGACCUCACUUCCGGUCUGGAUCACGCUUCGGGGCCCCGCCCCCCGCUCCGGGCCCCGCCCCCCGCUCUCGGCCACGCCCCCGCGCUCCGCCCCACAUAUCGGCCCCGCCCCCCACGCUCGGGGGCCCCGCCCCACGCUCUUGGCCCCACCCCCCACUCUCGGCCUCGCCUCACGCUCUCGGCCUCGCCCCCACUCUCCGGGUCCCGCCCCACAUCCUCGGCCCGCCCCCCGCUCCGGGCCCCGCCCCACGCUCUCGGCCUCUCCCACACGCUCCGGUUCCCGCCCCACGUUCUCGGCCCCGCCCCCACACCCCGGGCCCCGCCCCACGUUCUCGGCCUAGCCCCUACUCCCCAGGCCCCGCCCCACGUCCUCGGCCCCGCCCCCACGCUCCGGGGGCCCCCCCCACGUUCUCGGCCACGCUCCGGGCCCGCCCCCGAGCUCCGGGCUCCGCCCUACGUUCUCGGCCCCCCCCACGUUCUCGGCCCCGCUCCGGGCCCCGCCCCCGCGCUCCGGGCCCCGCCCCACGUCCUCGGCCUCGCCCCCACGCUCCGGGGCCCCGCCCCGCGCUCCGGCCCCGCCCCCGCACUUCCGGGCGGCGCCGGCGGGGGCGCUCCGGCCUGGGCUUCGGCGCUCUGGGCUCGGGCUCCCCGCUCGGGGAAGCGAUCGCGGCAGCCGCCGCCGCCGCCGCAGGACCGGCCGGAGUCGGUCCGGAGCCGCGUCUCCCGGUGCAGGCGGGUGAGAGCGGGCGGCCGGCCUCGGCGGCGCCCCCGCGGCCUGCCCCGCGCCCGCCUCCGGGCCGCCGCGCCGCCGCUGCGAUGGGGGCCGCCCGGGGCCGCGCCCCCGCCCCGUCCCGCCCGCCGCGCCGCCGCUGAGCGCAUGGGCCGCGCCGCGCCGCUCCCGGAGCCGGGCCGGGGCGCCGCCGCCGCCGCCGCCGCCGCGGGUGAGUCGUGCGGGCCGGGCGCGGGCCUGUGGGCCGCCCAUUGUAGGCCGCGUAGGCCGGGCGGGCCGGGACCCGGAAGAGGGGCCGGUGGGUGCGGGCUCGGGGCGUGCGGGGCGGCGGCGGGGACGCGCUGCGAGGGCCGGGGCCGGGGCGGGAGCGGUGCGCGGGGGGCGGUGCGCGGGGUCCCGGGGGGUGGGCGUGAGCGGGGCCGCCCGCGGGCCCGGCCGGGAUGCGCGUGUGCGCGGGCGCAGGUCCUGGGGCGGCCCCGUGACUCCGGCCCCGCGCGGGGCUCCGAGGCCCGAACCCCGAACCCCGGGCACCGGCUCCGCUCCCCCGAAGCCCCUAGCGCCUCCCCGCAGCUUGGAGCUCGGUGCCCGCGGAGCAGAGCCGCCCGGCCAGGCGGGGAAACUUUCUGCUUAGCGCUGAGGACAGAGGGGGAGCCCCAGUUCCCGGAGGGCCUCCCCGCGCAGGUCUGGGGUGGUUUAUGA